CCAGCCGCUGUUUCUCUUCUCCGAGACCAAGAGCAAGAACAAGAACAAGACAAGAAGAAGAAAGUAGUAGAGGCAACUAUGGAUCUCCAUCUCUCCAUCUCUCAUUCUCAUUCUCGGCUCAAUUGCCUGCGUCCUGAGUUUAGUUUUCUGUAUGGGAAUUUGUUUGUAUUACAAGAAGAAGAAGAAGAAGAAGAAGAAGAAGAAGCAGCAGCGAGAUCUUGGUGCUGUGAUUGCCGAUCUCUUUCACUAGAUAAGAUCGAUCCGCUGCAACUCUCAAUAGAUCAAAACAUGUGUGCUGUGAAGGUUCAACAAAUAUAAAAUUCAUGUGAAACAAGUGGUGACAUAAUCUUUUCUGGAAAGGUUUUUGUCAAUGUUUGCCGGAAUUCUCAGAGUGCAGAUUCUAAGGACUUGAGUCUUAUCUUCCUGAUUGCACAAGUGUAUCCGUGCAAGAUAUUGUUUCCUUUGCUCCAUAUUGAUGAAUGUCUCAAGCAAUACUUGUUGAAGCAUGAUGUGAAGAUAUUUCAGAGUUUGGCAAAAGCAGGUGUCAGACUUGGAAAAGAGCUGAUAUGCAAAGAGUCAACUGUCACUCGGGGCUUCUUUGGUGGGAAAGUACUUCUGUUAGUCACAGCAUGGAUGAGGCUACACUUUAUCAAGAUUUGCAUAUCACACGUUUCGUUGAUAAAUCUUCAGAGAAGAUUGAUCCACUUCAACUUUCAAUUCUGUGAAGGUGUAUAUGACAGAUAUGAUACACUUCAUAAUAUCGGAAUUUGUACUGCUCUGGUGUGUCAAUAUUGCAAGUUAGGUCAACUAGAUGAGGUGACAAGGUUAUUAUGUGAUGUGAUCAAGCUUUGUUUUAGUCCACCUAUCACUGACAAUGGCUUCUUGAAUGGUAAUAUUGGUGAAGAAAACUUGUCUGCUGUUGAUAGAUCCGAGAAAAUGCAAGUGAAUUCUGAAACGGUGCUGGAGGAAAUAUGGACAGAUGGAAAUCAUGAGGUGCUGCUGAAAUUGUGGUAGAACAAGCGAGAGACAAGGAGCGGAAUGUGGAAUUCAUUACUAAAAGUACGCAAUUUUUGGCAAAUGUAAUGGAGUGCAGGAUUCAUCACACUAAAGCUAAGGAUUUGGUUAUUGGUGUCUACACUGUUAAAUCAUGAUGGAAUGAUCACAGAGAACAAGCUAUGUAUUUCAGAUUUUGUUACUGGACAAGAGAGACGUAUUCUUGCUUGGGUGAAUUUGAUUAAGAUAUUAUGUGAACUACUUACUCAAGUUUCUCUAAUAUGUGAAUGUUACAGAGACUUUACGAGGUUCAACAAAUAUAAAAUUCAUGUGAAACAAGUGGUGACAUAAUCUUUUCAGGAAAGGUUUUUGACAAUGCUUGCCGGAGUUCUCAGAGUGCAGAUUCUAAGGAAUUGAGUCUUAUCUUCCUGAUUGCACAUGUGUAUCCAUGCAAGAUAUUGUUUCCUUUGCUCCAUAUUGAUGAAUGUCUCAAGCAAUACUUGUUGAAGCAUGAUGUGAAGAUAUUUCAGAGUUUGGCAAAAGCAGGUGUCAGACUUGGAAAAGAGCUGAUAUGCAAAGAGUCAACUAUCACUCUGGGCUUCUUUGGUGGGAAAGUACUUCUGUUAGUCACAGCAUGGAUGAGGCUACACUUUUAUCAAGAUUUGCAUAUCACACGUUUCGUUGAUAAAGCUUCAAAGAAGUUUGGUUUAUUAACCAUUAAAGCCGGAACAAAGAGGAUAGAUAACAUAUAUGUGGGAAAGAAGGUGCAAUCUUCCUCAAAGCUGGGGAGCUUUUGCCGACCACUAUUCGUCGGCAUAAGUUGCUGAGUGAUAAAGUUGGACUUGCCCCGGUGUUGAAGAUGAAAGGCUUGGGCUGUCCGUAUCUGAAUCCAAAUUCAAAAUCCGAGGAGCACAAUUCCACGAGGUAAAAUGAGAAAAACACUUACUCUGAUGAAAGUAGUAUAACUAAUAAGUUGUAAAUGAUAGAUGUACGAAAUUUACUCGUUACCUUUGUUCACCAAAUUUCGCAUAUGAUCUACAUACUUAGGUAAAUAAAUUUCACACAUAAAUCGGUUAUCGAUGUGCUUGUGCCUAAUGUAGUCACCUUUGUUCACCAAAUUUCGCAUAUGAUCUACAUACUUAGGUAAAUAAAUUUCACACAUAAAUCGGUUAUCGAUGUGCUUGUGCCUAAUGUAGUCACAUUAAUUUUCAGACUAAAUAUACAAAACAAAUCCAUUUAGAUGAGACGAAACAUAUAUGUGCAUAGCAUUACACCAAUAUAUACUUUGCGUUACAAGAUUAAACCAUAGUUGCGUUACUUUUUGUAAAUUUAGAUGAAAUUUUGUGACAUUUAUGCAAUUAGAAAUAAAACCCGGGUAGUUCCUAACAUUUAAUUUUUGUGUGAGAGGGGAGGGGCCAUAUAUAAAUAGGUGAGUCUGGAUUAGGGUUUUUACCAAACCUUUCAUUUCUGAGCACACACACACAGAGACUGAGAGCAGUGAAGAAUGGGCAAGACUAAGAUGAUGAUGAAGGGACCAGUGAUGUACUCCGCACCAAGUAACAUCCGCAGCCGGCUUGACGACAAGGCCACUCGGAAGUUUCUGAGUAAACUGUAUCGAGCCAUCAAGAAGUUCAUGGAGAAUCCACCUAGGUAUGGCUGAGGCAAUCAUGUAGCACCUUGGGACUACUUUGAGUUAAAAUAAGUAGACUAUGUGGAUUUUGGUUUAUUGUAAUCUCUGCACCUGCUAUUGCUAUUAUAUUAAGACUAUAUUCUGCGUGUGA